AAUUCCUACGGGGGGCAGCAGUGGGGAAUAUUGCACAAUGGGGGAAACCCUGAUGCAGCAACGCCGCGUGAGUGAAGGAGUAUCUCGGUAUGUAAAGCUCUAUCAGCAGGGAAGAAAAUGACGGUACCUGACUAAGAAGCCCCGGCUAACUACGUGCCAGCAGCCGCGGUAAUACGUAGGGGGCAAGCGUUAUCCGGAUUUACUGGGUGUAAAGGGAGCGUAGACGGUGUGGCAAGUCUGAAGUGAAAGCCCGGG
rnacentral:rRNA from 1 species